GACAUAAAGGGAGAUAAUUUAGACUCAGCUGCCUGGAAACAUUUCAGAGAGGAGAUACGCAUGCGCAUUGAAAGUACUUGCUGCAUUUUGAUAUCCAGGUGCGUGGAUUUCUCUUAAUUAGUUGAUAAGACAUUUAUAAUAGUUCUAAUGAAUUCCUCAACUGCCAGACACACACAUACAUAACAACACUGUCCUUUAUGAAACAUUUCCAACAUCAGAUGACAUUGACAUAACAGAAGAAACAUCCUCAAUAUCUACCAUGUUUUAAGGAAUAAAAGAAAAUAUUAUAUGAAACAGAUGUAUAGCAUUAUUUCUAGAAAUCUGUGGUAGAAUUCCUGUGAAACAUUUGCUCUGAAAUAAUAUUAUUAGCCAAAUUUCUGAACGUCAUCGACUGGAGUGUCAAGAAGAGAAGCUUCUGUGCUGAUUAAAGUUGGAUUAAUGUAUGUAAGUGUUGCUAAAUGGACAGAAAUACCACAGCAGAAGUGUUUGUAAAGAAUAAAGUAAAAGAAGAAAAGGAAGAAAAAUAUAUAAACUGGGAUUUGAGAGGGAAAAUAAUGGAAAAGAGUGAGAAAAAUAUACAAUUGAUUUCCCCUGAACCCAAGACAAAAGAGACGAGAUCAUAUGAUUGUGAUAUUUGUACAAAGUCUUUUUCUCA